rnacentral:rRNA from 1 species
AUAGCGUAUAUUAAAGUUGUUGCAGUUAAAAAGCUCGUAGUUGAACUUCAGACCUGGCUGGAUGGUCUGCCUAACGGUAUGUACUGUCUGGCUGGGCCUUACCUCUUGGUGAGCCGGCGUGCCCUUUAUUGGAUGCGUCGGGGAACCAGGACUUUUACCUUGAGAAAAUUAGAGUGUUCAAAGCAGGCCUAUGCCCGAAUACAUUAGCAUGGAAUAAUAAAUAGGACGUGCGGUUCUAUUUUGUUGGUUUCUAGAGUCGCCGUAAUGAUUAAUAGGGAUAGUUGGGGGCAUUGGUAUUGAGUCGCUAGAGGUGAAAUUCUUGGAUUGACUCAAGACCAACUAUUG